UUUUUUUUUUUUGUUUAGGAAAUGCAGUAUUUCAUUAUGUAUGGGAUCAUUCUCUUGUAUAUAUGCUAUAUUAAACAUGCCAUUUGUUAGAUGUUUCAAUUAUGAACACAAUUUUUACCAACAUCUGUUUCAAGUAUGAACACAAUCAAACCUUUUUCACUGUGUGACCAGAUGCUGAUUUAUUUUAUUUUAUUUUAUUUUUUCAUGUUGAUUUCUUUUAUUUGGUCAUUGUGUGCUCUGCUUUGUUUUUGUUAUUUGACCUAUAGCCUUCUUGCUAGGGUGAAGAUAUCUCCAAUGUCUUUUGAUGUCUGAAGUCUUAUUGGGAACCUAUAAGGAAGCUCUUUCUCAGUUAUUCUCUCAAGCAUCAACAACACAUAUGCAUCAUUUUCAAGAUGAAUGAUUUAUUCUCUUUCAUUUUGAUGUUAGGAAUAAAGUAAUUUUGAUUUGGGGCUGCACUUUUUAGAUCUCAUAAUUUUAAUUUUGUUAUGGCUGA